UACGGGGGGGGCAAGCGUUGUUCGGAAUUACUGGGCGUAAAGGGCUCGUAGGUGGCCAACUAAGUCAGACGUGAAAUCCCUCGGCUUAACCGGGGAACUGCGUCUGAUACUGGAUGGCUUGAGAUUGGGAGAGGGAUGCGGAAUUCCAGGUGUAGCGGUGAAAUGCGUAGAUAUCGGGAGGAACACCAGUGGCGAAGGCGGCUUUCUGGCCUGUUCUUGACGCUGAGGCGCGAAAGCUAGGGGAGCGAACGGG
rnacentral:rRNA from 1 species